CAGGCGUAGCAAUACGUGCUGACGAGCGGCGAACGGGUGAGUAAUGAUUCGGAAUCUUCCUCGUAGUGGGGAAUAACCUGGGGAAACUCAGGCUAAUAACGCAUACGAACUACGGUUGAAAGCAGGGGAUCGCAAGACCUUGCGCUAUGAGAUGAGCCGAAUUCGGAUUAGCUAGUUGGUGGGGUAAAGGCCUACCAAGGCGACGAUCCGUAGCUGGUCUGAGAGGACGACCAGCCACACUGGGACUGAGACACGGCCCAGACUCCUACGGGAGGCAGCAGUGGGGAAUAUUGGACAAUGGGGGCAACCCUGAUCCAGCGACGCCGCGUGUGUGAAGAAGGCCUUCGGG
rnacentral:rRNA from 1 species